AUCAAGAAGGCAGGUGCCUUGACUACAGAAAAUGUAAACCUCUGCAAGAAAUAUGGCAGAUACAGUACCGUACAGCCACCGAUUUUUAUAGACGAUCAGUGUGCAGAUACCAGGGCAAUGUUACGAUCGUUUGCUGUCCGAACGAUCCAAACAAAGAGAAGAGAGAAAUUUUAAUAAAAACUGUGUAUAAGUAUAAGGCUUUGCGACCACCAUACUGUGGUUUUAGCAACGUCUCUCAUACCAGGGUGGUCGAUGGUAAACCAGCUGAACUUGGUACGUUUUAUGUCUUUCUUUCCGAUUAAUAAUAAGCCAUUUACUGCAAAGAAUGAACUUUAAAGGCAUUAAACAGCACAUCAAUGAAGAGUAUCUUUUUGCUUGAAAUAAAAAAUUGAUAUAGGAGUAAUAAUAUGGAUAGAGAUCAAAAACUGUUAGGGCAGAAAUUACACGUUUGAACUUUAUAGUUCAGUAUAGUUCAAAUAGAAAUUAUAUAGAAUUAUUUAAUAAUUUGUAUUCCACUGGAAUAAAAAUUUAAUUUCUGUCUUUAUCAAAUCUCUAUUUCAGAGUAUUUGUACGUAUGUACUUAUCGUCUGCUGUAUGAUCGAAUAUCGAAUAGGCGCUUGGCCAUGGAUCGCUGCAUUAGGUUUUCGUAAUCCCCGAAACCCAGACAAACCACUAUGGAAGUGCGGAGGUUCCCUGAUAUCGGCUAGGCAUGUUUUGACCGCAGCACAUUGUGCACAUAUGGAUGGAAUAGAAAACAUACACAAUCAUAAUAUUGCCAUUCUUAGAUUGGUGGAGGAGGUGCCAUU